rnacentral:rRNA from 1 species
AGGACGAACGCUGGCGGCGUGCUUAACACAUGCAAGUCGAGCGGAAAGGCCCUUCGGGGUACUCGAGCGGCGAACGGGUGAGUAACACGUGAGUAAUCUGCCCCUAGCUCUGGGAUAGCUCCGGGAAACCGGGAUUAAUACCGGAUACGACCACCUUAGACAUCUUUUGUGGCGGAAAGAAUUUCGGCUAGGGAUGAGCUCGCGGCCUAUCAGCUUGUUGGUGGGGUAACGCCUACCAAGGCGACGACGGGUAGCCGGCCUGAGAGGGCGACCGGCCACACUGGGACUGAGACACGGCCCAGACUCCUACGGGAGGCAGCAGUGGGGAAUAUUGCGCAAUGGGCGAAAGCCUGACGCAGCGACGCCGCGUGGGGGAUGAAGGCCUUCGGGUUGUAAACCCCUUUCAGCAGGGACGAAGCGAAAGUGACGGUACCUGCAGAAGAAGCGCCGGCUAACUACGCGCCAGCAGCCGC